GAUGAACGCUGGCGGCGUGCCUAAUACAUGCAAGUCGAGCGAACAGACGAGGAGCUUGCUCCUCUGACGUUAGCGGCGGACGGGUGAGUAACACGUGGAUAACCUACCUAUAAGACUGGGAUAACUUCGGGAAACCGGAGCUAAUACCGGAUAAUAUAUUGAACCGCAUGGUUCAAUAGUGAAAGACGGUUUUGCUGUCACUUAUAGAUGGAUCCGCGCCGCAUUAGCUAGUUGGUAAGGUAACGGCUUACCAAGGCAACGAUGCGUAGCCGACCUGAGAGGGUGAUCGGCGACACUGGAGCUGAGACACGGUCCAGACUCCUACGGGAGGCAGCAGUAGGGAAUCUGCCGCAAUGGGCGAAAGCCUGACGGAGCAACGCCGCGUGAGUGAUGAAGGUCUUCGGAUCGUAAAACUCUGUUAUUAGGGAAGAACAAAUGUGUAAGUAACUAUGCACGUCUUGACGGUACCUAAUCAGAAAGCCACGGCUAACUACGUG
rnacentral:rRNA from 1 species